rnacentral:rRNA from 1 species
AAUUACAGCCAUGCUACCCUGAACAAGACUGAUCCCAUCUGAUCUCAGAAACUAAGCAGAAUCAGGCCUGGUUAGUACUUGGAAGGGAGACCACUUAGGAAGACCAGGUGCUAUAGGCG